AGGUCUUGGUCUUAAACCUCCUAUUAUCUCCACCCCCUAAUUAUACAUGCAAGCCUCCCCACGACAGUGAAAAAACCCACAUAAAUCAACCACGGAGUUGGUAUCAGGCAUACGCCCAUUACACCAAGCAACACAGCCACACCCCCACGGGCCCGCAGCAGUAUCCAAUAUUAGGCCAUAAGCGCACCAUUCUCUUUAAAGCUUGACCUAGCAAGGGGACCUAAGGGCCGGUUAAUCUCGUGCCAGCGACCGCGGUUAUACGACAGACCCAAGAUAAUAGCACCGGCGUAAAGAACGACUAGAUUGUAGUACCACAUAUUAGGGAAAAACCAAACUAGGCCGUAAAAAGCCAUAAGCUUCAUCAACCCACCCACCUAAUACAUUAAACCACUUCAACUCGUGAAAAUAGGAAUACAAACUAAGAUUAGAUACCUUACUAUGCCUAACUUAACACACAUGAAAUCACCAAUUGUUCGCCAAACAACUACGAGUUAAAACUUAAAACUUAAAAGACUUGACGGUACUUCACACCACCCUAGAGGAGCCUGUCUAAUAACCGAUACCCCACGAUUAACCCGACCCACCCUAGCCCAACAGUCUAUAUACCGCCAUCGCCAGCUUACCUUGUGAAAGAAACAAAGUAAACACAACAGCUACCACUAACACGAUAGGUCGAGGUGUAACUAAUGGGUGGGAAAAAGAUGGGCUACAUUUUCUAAUACAGAAAACACGAAUAGACUAUGAAAAUAGAAACCGAAGGCGGAUUUAGCAGUACGUUAAGGACAAAAUGCUUAACCGAAAUAAAUGCAAUGAAGUGCGUACACACCGCCCGUCAUCCCUGUAACCCCCCCAAAAAAAACUACAUAAACACAACAAACCAAUCAAACAGGGCAAGUCGUAACAUGGUAAGCGUACUGGAAAGUGCGCUUA
rnacentral:ncRNA from 1 species